GACGAACGCUGGCGGCGUGCUUAACACAUGCAAGUCGAACGGACAGGCCCUGCUUUUGUGGGGUGCACGAGUGGCGAACGGGUGCGUAAGACGUGAGUACCCUGCCCUAGCCUUUGGGAUAACUUCAGGAAACUGGGGCUAAUACCGGCUAGGACCUCAUGCUGCUUGGUGGGGGUUGGAAAGUUGUGGCGGUUGGGGAUGGCAUCGCGGCUUAUCAGCCUGUUGGUGGGGUAGCGGCUUACCAAGGUUUGGACGGGUAGCCGGCCUGAGAGGGUGACCGGCCACAGUGGGACUGAGAUACGGCCCAGACUGCUACGGGAGGCAGCAGUGGGGAAUAUUGCACGAUGGGCGGAAGCCUGAUGCAGCAACGCCGCGUGCGGGAUGACGGCCUUCGGGUUGUAACCCGCUUUCGCCUGUGACGAAGCGUGAGUGACGGUAAUGUGUAAAGAAGCACCGGCUAACUACGUG
rnacentral:rRNA from 1 species